rnacentral:rRNA from 1 species
GAUGAACGCUGGCGGCGUGCCUAAUACAUGCAAGUCGAGCGAACGGACGAGAAGCUUGCUUCUCUGAUGUUAGCGGCGGACGGGUGAGUAACACGUGGAUAAGCUACCUAUAAGACUGGGAUAACUUCGGGAAACCGGGGCUAAUACCGGAUAAUAUUUUGAACCGCAUGGUUCAAACGUUAAAGACGGUCUUGCUGACACUUAUAGAUGGAUCCGCGCUGCAUUAGCUAGUUGGUAAGGUAACGGCUUAGCAAGGCUACGAUGCAUAGCCGACCUGAGCGGGACGUCCGCCACACUGGAUCUGAGACACAGCCGAGACUCCGACGGUAGGACGCAGUAGGGAAUCUUCCGCGAGGGGGGAGAGCCGGACGGAGCACCGCCGCGUGAGUGAUGAAGGUCUUCGGAUCGGAAAACUCUGUUAUUAGUGAAGAACAUAUGUGUAAGUACCUGUGCUCAUCUUGACGGUACCUAAUCAGAAAGCCACGGCUAACUCCGUG